CUCUGCAGCCCCUGGACUCGGCCGCGCGGCGUGUCUUUGUUAAAGGAGAGACCCCAGCCCCAGCAAGAACAGGAAACUGGAGAUUGAAUCAGAUGCCGAGCGCUCAGAAACUGAAACUUAAGAAAUCGAAACUAAACGUAAGCUUCAGAAACCGAAACUUAAUAGAAGAGCUCAAGAGCCGCGGCCAGACGUUUGCGGAGUCCAGGGUCUUUCGGAGUUGAAUUUGCAGCUGGGCUCCUUCACUUUGGUCUCGGCUUUUAUCUGCCUCCCUGAUAGGUUUUUGGUCUUGGUGACUUCAAGAAUGAAGCUGCGGACUCUCGCUGUGAGUGCUACAGUUGUUAAAGAUGGCGUGUCUGGAGUUUGUUCCUUUCGAUGUUCAGAUGUGUCUGGAGUUUCUUCCUUCUGGUGAGUUCGUGGUCUUGCUGACUUCAGGAGUGCAGCUGCAGACCUUCACAGUGAGUGUUACAG
rnacentral:lncRNA from 1 species